rnacentral:rRNA from 1 species
GUGGGGAAUAUUGGACAAUGGGCGCAAGCCUGAUCCAGCCAUGCCGCGUGCAGGAUGAAGGCCUUCGGGUUGUAAACUGCUUUUGUACGGAACGAAAAGACUCCUUCUAAUAAAGGGGGUCCAUGACGGUACCGUAAGAAUAAGCACCGGCUAACUACGUGCCAGCAGCCGCGGUAAUACGUAGGGUGCAAGCGUUAAUCGGAAUUACUGGGCGUAAAGCGUGCGCAGGCGGUUAUGUAAGACAGAGGUGAAAUCCCCGGGCUCAACCUGGGAAAUGCCUUUGUGACUGCAUAGCUGGAGUGCGGCAGAGGGGGAUGGAAUUCCGCGUGUAGCAGUGAAAUGCGUAGAUAUGCGGAGGAACACCGAUGGCGAAGGCAAUCCCCUGGGCCUGCACUGACGCUCAUGCACGAAAGCGUGGGGAGCAAACAGGAUUAGAAACCCGUGUAGUCC